ACCCGCACAAGCGGUGGAUGAUGUGGAUUAAUUCGAUGCAACGCGAAAACCUUACCCACCUUUGACAUGUACGGAAUCCUUUAGAGAUAGAGGAGUGCUCGAAAGAGAGCCGUAACACAGGUGCUGCAUGGCUGUCGUCAGCUCGUGUCGUGAGAUGUUGGGUUAAGUCCCGCAACGAGCGCAACCCUUGUCAUUAGUUGCUACAUUUGGUUGGGCACUCUAGUGAGACUGCCGGUGACAAACCGGAGGAAGGUGGGGAUGACGUCAAGUCCUCAUGGCCCUUAUGGGUAGGGCUUCACACGUCAUACAAUGGUCGGUACAGAGGGUUGCCAAGCCGCGAGGUGGAGCCAAUCCCUUAAAGCCGAUCGUAGUCCGGAUCGUAGUCUGCAACUCGACUACAUGAAGUCGGAAUCGCUAGUAAUCGCGGAUCAGCAUGUCGCGGUGAAUACGUUCCCGGGCCUU
rnacentral:rRNA from 1 species